rnacentral:rRNA from 1 species
AUUGAACGCUGGCGGCAGGCUUAACACAUGCAAGUCGAGCGAGAGGCGGACGGGUGAGUAAUGUCUGGGGACCUGCCCGAUAGUGGGGGUUAACUACUGGAAACGGUGGCUAAAACAGCAAAGAAGCGGGAGAAGCACGCUGGGAUUCGCUAGUAGGUGGGGUAAAGGCUCACCUAGGCGGAGAACGCGAGCUGGUCUGAGAGGUUGAACGGCCACAGUGGGACUGGGACACGGCCCAGACUCCUACGUGAGGCAGGAGGGGGGAAUAUUGGACAAUGGGCGCUAGCCUGAUGCAGCCAUGCCUGGUGUAUGAAGAAGGCCUUAGGGUUGUGAAGUGCAUUCAGCUGGGAGGCGUUACCUGCAGAAGAAGCACCGGCUAACUCCGUGCCAGCAGCCGCGGUAAUUC